rnacentral:rRNA from 1 species
AUGCAGUCGUACGGAGGUUUUCGGACCUCAGUGGCGAACGGGUGCGUAACACGUGAGCAACCUGCCUCGAGGUGGGGGAUAACCCGGGGAAACCCGGGCUAAUACCGCAUUCGCUCGUGCUGUCUUAGGGUGGCACGAGGAAAGGAGCUUUUGGGCUCUGCCUUGAGAGGGGCUCGCGGCGUAUCAGGUAGUUGGUGGGGUAACGGCCUACCAAGCCGACGACGCGUAGCCGAUCUGAGAGGAUGAUCGGCCACAUUGGGACUGAGAUACGGCCCAGACUCCUACGGGAGGCAGCAGUGGGGAAUCUUGCGCAAUGGGCGAAAGCCUGACGCAGCGACGCCGCGUGCGGGAGGAAGCUCUUCGGAGUGUAAACCGCUGUCAGGAGGGAAGAAAUCUCUGGGGAGGCAAUGCCCUGGAGUUGACGGUACCUCCAGAGGAAGCACCGGCUAACUCUGUGCCAGCAGCCGCGGUAAUACAGAGGGUGCGAGCGUUGUUCGGAAUUACUGGGCGUAAAGCGCGCGCAGGCGGCUCUUUAAGUCUACUCGUGAAAUGCCGGGGCUCAACCCCGAGCGCUGCGGGAGAUACUGGAGGGCUGGAGACACGUAGAGGCAAGCGGAAUUCCGGGUGUAGCGGUGAAAUGCAUAGAGAUGACACAGAACACCGAUAGCGAAGGCAGGUCACUAAGCUAAUAUUGACGCUUAGGCACGAAAGCGUGGGGAUCAAACAGGAUUAGAUACCCUGGUAGUCCACGCCGUAAACGAUGAUAACUAGCUGUUGGCGAUACACAGUCAGUGGCUGAGCGAAAGCAUUAAGUUAUCCACCUGGGGAGUACGACCGCAAGGUUGAAACUCAAAAGGAAUUGACGGGGGGCCCGCACAAGCCGGAGGAGCAUGUGGUUUAAUUCGAUGAUACGCGAAGGAACCUUACCUGGGGCUCGAACGUAAAAGCGACGUAUGCCGAAAAGGUAUAUUCCCUUUCGGGGGCGAACUACCAAGGUGCUUGCAUGGGUUGUCGUCAGCUCCG